AAUUCUGCCAAGAAAUCUAGGAGCAGAAGAAGAUGUAUGCAAGGGACUUGGAGACGAGGCAAUGGUUUUGAAGCUUUGGGAGCCUGCGACUGGCUCGACAGGUGGCAUCAGCAAGCGCCGGCCGGCCUCGGCACUGCUGUGGGUGGUUAUAUGGUGGGUGGAGCACACCAUUGGGAUUCGACAUCAGGGUACGGUGGCGAGCUAAAUCUUCAGUCCAGCUAGGAUUUUAUUUUUGGUUCACGUUUUGUUACUGUUUUCCAUUCGGGAUUUCAUGGUGAGCAAACCUACCAUUUGCAGUUGUUUGUUUCAGAAAUUCAUGUCCUGACUUCAAAUUUUGGUCGUAAGG